rnacentral:rRNA from 1 species
GACGAACGCUGGCGGCGUGCUUAACACAUGCAAGUCGAACAAUGAACCGGUUUCGGCCGGGGAUUAGUGGCGAACGGGUGAGUAACACGUGGGCAAUCUGCCCUGCACUCUGGGAUAAGCCCGGGAAACUGGGUCUAAUACCGGAUACGACACUCCGAGGCAUCUUGGGGUGUGGAAAGUUCCGGCGGUGCAGGAUGAGCCCGCGGCCUAUCAGCUUGUUGGUGGGGUAAUGGCCUACCAAGGCGACGACGGGUAGCCGGCCUGAGAGGGUGACCGGCCACACUGGGACUGAGACACGGCCCAGACUCCUACGGGAGGCAGCAGUGGGGAAUAUUGCACAAUGGGCGAAAGCCUGAUGCAGCGACGCCGCGUGAGGGAUGACGGCCUUCGGGUUGUAAACCUCUUUCAGCAGGGAAGAAGCGAAAGUGACGGUACCUGCAGAAGAAGCACCGGCUAACUACGUG